CUACGGGAGGCAGCAGUAGGGAAUCUUCCGCAAUGGACGAAAGUCUGACGGAGCAACGCCGCGUGAGUGAUGAAGGUUUUCGGAUCGUAAAGCUCUGUUGUUAGGGAAGAACAAGUGCAAGAGUAACUGCUUGCACCUUGACGGUACCUAACCAGAAAGCCACGGCUAACUACGUGCCAGCAGCCGCGGUAAUACGUAGGUGGCAAGCGUUGUCCGGAAUUAUUGGGCGUAAAGGGCUCGCAGGCGGUUUCUUAAGUCUGAUGUGAAA
rnacentral:rRNA from 1 species